AAGACUUUAAGUUAAUGUAAACUCAAGACCUUCAAAGUCUUAAAUGGCCAAUAGCCAAGUCUUG
rnacentral:tRNA from 1 species